UUGUCGCUAAGAUUCGAC
rnacentral:snRNA from 1 species